CGAACGAGUCGCCGUCGAAAUUGGGUACACCGAGAAAAAUAAAAUAAAGUCAAGUGAAAAUUAUAUAAAAACGGUUUAAAUGUUAAAUUAAUUGGAAAAAAGAAAUAAAAACGAAGAAAGGAAACUUUUUUAAAAAAGAAAACGCCGCCUAUUUGGAGUAGGAAAACGAUAACGACGAUGACGUAAUAAGGGCCCUCCGGCGGGGCAGCUAGAGAAGAAUUCCCCGUCUCCGUCGUGUUUGGGGAAAACAGCCUGUUUGCUAAAGAAAGCGUGUCUAAGUUGCCGGAGAGUUUACUUUUUGAAUUAAGGAAAUUCAAGGCGGGAUAUAUUUUCUCAUACCAAUUUAAUCGCUGAACUACGUACGUAGUGAGCCUGAUGAUUUUCGCAACUACUUGCGAUGAACGAAAUUUUUGGCAACUGGGAGAAUUUACGAGGAAUUGAAAUUUGCAAUAGUUAUUUCCAAAUCAGCUCUAAGCGCCAUAAUUCCAGAAACAUGUGACGCAAUUUACAAGGCAUUAAAAGACAAGCAAAAGCAGCGGAACGUUUAUCUUAAGCAUACUGCUUGCCAAACAGCUAUGAGGAACAGUGUGAUGAGGACUUAGUCAACAUUUGAAAGAUAGAAUAAGGGGUGGUUAAAAAACCUUCUUCAAUUGGACCAAGUUAAAUGAUACAAAUUAAAGAGAAAUAAAACAGCAAGGAACUUCCAGUUUUAGUUUACAAACCCCAGAAAAAAAGGGAGAAAAAACGAAGAAGUAAAACGGAAUAAAAUAUAUGUGACAUUUUAGACGAUUUGUUAAAGGGGUUGGAAGACAUGUGCCUUCGGGGGCUUGUACUACUAACAUCUGAGGCUGUAUCUCUGUCUGUAUACUGUAGAGAGGAACUAACAAGGACUAUAAAUAACGGCCUGCUAGCGUCGCCAACAACUCUAAUGACGAUGGAUUUCGACGGCACGAUAUACCGCUUGGCUUAUACACUCUUUCCCCGAAUGCUUAUUUUUACUGUGGAUACAAAAACGUAUAUUACAAGUUCAAGUACAUAAAUUAGAAACUUAAAAAAAACAAUUUUCAAAGUAAGCGAGUAAACUGAAGUGUUUCGAGCAGGUAACUUGAAUAUGCACGUCUGAGCAUAAAUAUUCAACGCAAACUUAAUUCUUCCAUUGCGGAACGCACCGCGAAAACGAGUUGAGAAGCAGCGGAACACUUGUUGCUAUGUCUAGACGCUGGUUUUGCAUUUUGCAUACAGCAAUUAUCGCCUCUGAGUCUUUGGGUCUACACACGUUUCAGAAUUUAAUAACGUCUUGUUAAAAACAAGAAAAAAAUAUUUUUUUGCACCCAAAAUUGACAAAAAUUUUAACUUUUGGCCAAGUUCUAAACUAGUCACAAAUUAUACAAGCAUGGAAAAAAGUGGAUUUACAUAAAAUUAUUUAGUGUCUGGAAUUGAUAAAAGUAAAACAACAGAUUUUUCCAUUUUCCUUUUCUUAUUUGGAUUUAUUUUCCGUCGGCGUGCAUGAUGUAUUGCCAAGACCUGAUCCUUGAACUCGACGGCCAAAGACCCAAAGCGUCGAGACGGUCGGCAGUCUGCACCCCUUUCCAUAUCAAUCCCCAACUGUGAACUGAUCGAUUAUUCCCUUAUACUUGGAUAACGAUUAAAUUUACUAAAAAUAUUCCACAAUUUGAUAAUCGUUUGUGCUAACUUCAUUGACUUUAAAUCUAAGUUGUAAUUAAAAAUCGAUAGAUGGAGUUGGGAAAACGAAAUAAGAACACCGCACCGCAUUUUCUUUUUAUUUUUAAAUUGAAGGGGAGCUUAUUCAAUAAAUGAGCAUUAAAAAUUAAUAAAGACUUCCUUUAUGAGUUUAAUAAAAAAAAUUUCGUUGCUUUUAAAAGUCCCCUUUCAUUCCGUUCUUUUGAUUUGUUUGUAUCUUUUUGAAAUGCUUCUUCGUUGAUUAAUUUUAUUUUUCCUCCUCAAAAUUAUAA